AUUGAACGCUGGCGGCAGGCCUAACACAUGCAAGUCGAGCGAGCGGCGGACGGGUGCGUACUAGAUGUGGGCUGCCCGAUAGAGGGGGAUAACGACUGGGAACGGUAGCUAAUACUACGUACGAUCGGAUAAGCCAUAUGGGAUUAGCUAGUAGGUGAGGGAAUGGCUCACCUAGGCGACGAUCCCUAGCUGGUCUGAGAGGAUGAUCAGUCACACUGGGACUGAGACACGGCCCAGACUCCUACGGAGGCAGCAGUGGGGAAUAUUGCACAAGGGGCGCAAGCCUGAUGCAGCCAUGCCGCGUGUAUGAAGAAGGCCUUCGGGUGGUAAAGUACUUUAAGUCGGGAGGCGUUACCAACAGAAGAAGCACCGGCUAACGCCGUGCCAGCAGCCGCGGUAAUUC
rnacentral:rRNA from 1 species